GUUACGUAAUAUAGGAAAGUGUUACAAAUAAAAGUGCCAAAAUCAAAUUUUAGAUCAAAUGUAAUACUUUAAAAGUGUUACAAUACAUUGCAACGGAUUUGGCUGAAAUUUGGGCGGGAUUUCAAUUUUUAUACUUGGCGGGCUUCCAAACAUUAGGGCAAAAACUUUCGGUAUCAACACUUUUUUUACAUAAAAAAAAAAUUUAAUACAAAAAACAAACAUCUCCACUGCUCUCUCCGCUCACUCCACUCCCCUGUUCCUCACACCCCUCUCUCCGCUCCCCUCUUCCUUACUACCCUCUCUCGCUCAUCUCUCUCCCUCAUCUCUCUCACACCUACUACUCUUCUUCCUCGCUCAUCUCUCUUGCACCGAUCUGAAAGUCCUAAAAUCGAUUGGGGCAAUAAUCUGGGGAAAACCCUAAAAUUGAUUGGAGUUUUAAUUGAUUGUGUCAGAGCUUCUAUUAGAGGUUGUGAAGGAGGAUAUAUAUCAGAUUAUUAAAGCAGAAAAAUGGAGUUGCUCGUAGGAUAUUUUCCUCAGGCGUUGGGUGUUCAUACACCGAUAAUAAGUUAAGCUCUGUCCAUACACUAACAAUAAGUUCAUCUGUGCUUUUAUUCAUUAGAAUUGUCGUCAUAAUAUUUAGUUUCUAUUCAUAUAUCGCCGUGCAUAUGCUAUUCUAUUAUGUUUGUUUUUAUUUUUGGACAUGCUACAAGAUCAACUAUGUAUUCAUAUAUGUCAAGUUUGGGUAAAAUCUAGCUAGGCAGUAAAAACCACCAGAUGACUAAUAGAAUUUUAUUAUUUAUUUUUUAGUAAGAGGACAGUUCCACAAUCAUAGUUUCGAUUAAACUAGUCGGUGUGCAGUCCUAAGGAAGUUGCAAGACUAUCGAUCCCACCUCCAACAUCACAAUGUAUUCAGUGUUUUCAUUUUAUCAGUGUUUGCUAGGAAUUUUUGAUUUAUACUAGUAUUGGCUAUGUUAUUGAUAGAGCAAGCAAUCAAGAAGAAGUAUAAGAAACUUGUUUGUGUGUGCCACAUUGUCCGUCUGUGUUUUGAACACUUGAACAGACUAUGCAGUUUUGUAUAUACUAAGAAAAGGUUAAGAUAUUAUAUAGGAGCUAAGAUAUGGUCCCUGUUAGAAAUUCAAUAUGUCAUUUAAUUAUCCUCAGGAUAUUAGGUGUUUAUUUGUCUUGUUUUAUCUAUUUUUAACAUGUAUAUGAACUGACACUUAUAUUUUAUAACCAAUAUCUUAAGCUUGUUUAACACAUUGAAGUGGCAAAAUAUGAAUCUAGAAUAAGGUUUUAGGUUGAUUAAUGAUAUGUGGUUAUUCUGAUUUUUCUCAAGUCUUUUCGCGUUCUGAUAAAUAUUAAAGAUCUUCGUGAUCAAGUUCGAUCUCUUUCAGAGUACAGAGCUCAACUGUACCAUUAUCUGAAGAGUAGAAUGAACAAUAUAGCUCCAAGUCUAACUUCUCUUGUUGGGGAACUUGUUGGUGCUCAAUCUAGAAAGCAAAGAACUAGGCCAUGCUUCUCAUACAGCUAAAGGCAAACCCAAGAUUGUGUUCUAUGAUAUACGGUCCGCGAGAAGGGAGUAAGUGCUUUGAUAACUCCUGUAUUAUUAUACUAGAGCUUAUAUUAAAGUACUUUGUUCCUUCACAUACAAAGUUCUGUUUUAAUUUUAUUAUAUUUUUGCAAGGUACAUUGUCGACUUAAAAAUGUAAGAAAUGACAUUGGCUGCUCUAGCGAGAUCAUUAUGUGUGGCUCUCCAUAAAAAAUAUUCAACGGUUAUAUUUUUAUAUAUUCAGCGGUUAUGUAUUUUAAGAACUUCUACUAACUUUAACAAUUGAAAGCAGGGUCUCAAGAAAAUGGGAAAUGGCUACAUGAGGUUUGGCAUGCCUUUUUAUUUUGCCAAUGGACUUGGAGGCAGCUGUUAAAAACAAAUUAGUUGGAUUCUCUGUGAUUUUGUUUCUUUGCUGCCUCCAUUCCUGCCUCGCUUGUGCUGCAAACUCCAUAUCUGGUUUGAGCACUUCCUAAUGGCCUUUAACUUUUUCCUAUUAAAUUUUAUUUCAUAUUUUCCAGUUUAUAUGUGCUGUUGUAGUUAUGCUUCACGUGCUUCUUCCUUCGGAUGCUUUACUAAGAAUAUGAAUCAAAUUGGAAUGCAGAAUCAUCCAUGGAAGGACAAACUAGGGUGUGUUAAACAAUUGCAAAGUCAAGAUAGUCCUGCUGGAGUUAAAGCUAGUAGAUGAUAGAGUAUGAUCCUGAUGGCUUUGUCACCCAAGAAGAAUCAUGUUUUGUUGCAUAGCUCAUUGAUGUGUACUUAAAUUAUGGAUAAGUGAGAAGGGCAAGCUUAUAGCGUUUAAACCAACUCCCGUAGAACCAUCAAAGGCCGAAGAACGUGCACAAGCCAUUAUGGAUAAUGUAUAGGAAAUUAUUAUAACUAGGAUUGGCUGUGUAAAAUACUAACAUGAUUUCUUUUUAUUUUUCAUUUUUUUUGUUUUUUGAUUUUAGUGAACUGUAAUAAAGAAAAUUUUAAA